rnacentral:rRNA from 1 species
CUGUCUCAUUUAAUAUUUGAAUUUUAUAUUUUAGUAAAAAAGCUAGAAUAAGAUUUAGAGACGAGAAGACCCUAUCAAACUUUAUAAUCAAGAUUUUACUUUCGAAGUAUGAAUUAAGAUUAUUUUGCUGGGGCAGCGAUUUAGAAGAUUUCUAUUUCCAUAUUAUGAUUUAUAAAUCUUGUUCGGAUCGGAAAACUUUUUAAAAAAGAAAUAAGUUACUGUAGGGAUAACGAGCGAUAAUUUUUUUAAAGAGUUCUUAUCAUCAAAGGAAGUUUGUGACCUCGAUGUUGGAUUAAGAGUCCUAAUUCACGCAAUAGUAAAAAAAGG